GACGAACGCUGGCGGCGUGCUUAACACAUGCAAGUCGAACGGAAAGGCCCUGCUUUUGUGGGGUGCUCGAGUGGCGAACGGGUGAGUAACACGUGAGUAACCUGCCCUUGACUUUGGGAUAACUUCAGGAAACUGGGGCUAAUACCGGAUAGGAGCUCCUGCUGCAUGGUGGGGGUUGGAAAGUUUCGGCGGUUGGGGAUGGACUCGCGGCUUAUCAGCUUGUUGGUGGGGUAGUGGCUUACCAAGGCUUUGACGGGUAGCCGGCCUGGGGGGGUGACCGGCCACAUUGGGACUGAGAUACGGCCCAGACUCCUACGGGAGGCAGCAGUGGGGAAUAUUGCACAAUGGGCGGAAGCCUGAUGCAGCAACGCCGCGUGCGGGAUGACGGCCUUCGGGUUGUAAACCGCUUUCGCCUGUGACGAAGCGUGAGUGACGGUAAUGGGUAAAGAAGCACCGGCUAACUACGUG
rnacentral:rRNA from 1 species